rnacentral:piRNA from 1 species
UGCAAAGUGGCAGUGUGCAAACUCCUUAAGC